GAGUGUGCAGAGUGUGCCUCUGGCUGACCUGCUAAGCAGACCACAGCAGCCCAGAAGAAAAUCUUAAGAUAACACACAGUAAACAACCUUGAGACUGGAUGACUGAAAGCUAUUGAGUCUUUCCUUGAAGGCACGGGUUGGAGCAGAAACUUUUCCACCUUUCAGAGUCACCCUGACCAGGGGGAGACUCCGACAGAGAAGGCAUUUCAUUCUGAUGUUUCAAGCUCAAAGAUUGUCGCUUGUGUGAGUACACUUACCAGGGCAUAGCACCAGAACAGACUCUGGAAAAGACCCCUUUCUCCCUGUGUGGUUCCCAAGGGACGGCCUUGGUAGUCGGGACAUGUGGAGGGAGGGUGUGUGCCCGUGCCCCUUGCAUGGGGCAUUAGGGAGGAGGGCAGGUUUGUUACCAGGAGGUGUGGCAUGACAACACCUGACCUGCAAUCAAGUUGCAAGAAAGCAGCCUCCACCAAUGGACAGUGAAGAGUUAAUUGACAGACUUUAGAAGGAGCUGGACAUUCCUGAUGCAACACUAAAGGGCUAGCUGCGCAAAUGGUGGUACUGCAUAUUGCUUUAUAACAGCAGCUAUCGUAGCAGUUGGACUAGGUGCAAUGCAGAAGGAAUAAGCUUGGGAUGAUGGUAAAGAUUGUGAAGACCCUUGAGAAGAUUAAAUAAGACUAUUUCUAUGUUUCUAUUUUUCUUAAACUGUGCAACUGAAACUUUAUUUUCAUAGUUACUACUGAUUUCUGACAUAAUAUUUGAUCUAGUUUUAAUCAACAGAUAAGCUUUAUUAAAAUUUGCUAUACUGGUAUUUGUUUUAAUUGGCCAAUUAAAAAUCUGGGUGACUGAUGGCAAAUUGAAAAGGAUUGAAAAUUUACAACAAGUACUUAUGGUCAAAAAAGAUAAGCCAAAAGAAAAAGAGAAUUAUAAGAGCUGCUCUUAUCACAGACUAAAACCAUCUAAAUUAAAUAAAAACUUCUGGGGUUGGUGAAAGAGAUAUAAUGAAUAUAUUGACCAAUUGAGAUCCAAAACAGUGUGCCGCUUUGCUCAGUGAAGUAAUUAUCAGUUGAAAUAACUUGACUGAGGAAGCGGUGGAGUUUUUUAUUACCAGUUAGAAAAACACAAACUUGAUGUGCUUCUAAAAAGAUAAAGUCCAACUGAAAUGGAAGGUAUAAGUUAUGGCAAUAACUUUUUUGAUAUGAUAAUAAUGUCUUGGAAGAAGUACAAAUCAAAAUCAUUGUUCUGGCCUUCAGAUCAAUGAAUCAGCAUCUAAGUUUAAAUUGCUAUUUUUCCCCCUCUGUUAGAGCUCAGUAAAGGUGGUUAUAAGUAGAUUCCUCAAAUUUUUCUUUCAGAUAAUAUUCUGAGAUGAUUAUGGGAAAGAAUUAAAUAUUAAGACAUUAAAUUCAGAACAGUUUAUAAUUGAAAAUUUUGUAUGAUACAUUUUUGAAAGAAAAGCUGUGACUUUUUUUCAGGAUGAAAACUAAGGAUUGGAAUAGCAAAAAUAAUAGUUCUUUUGUCUUUUCAGAAUAGUUAGUACCAGUAUAAUGUGAUUUAUCAGUGGGAAUUUGGUAUCAUAAAUGUUAGUUUUAUUGUCUAAAGCUAUGUCUAUCCAAAAAAAGCAAAGGUGAUAUAGGGACAAUAUUUGAUAUUAUUCCUUAUAAAUAUAUGUGUUGUUAUUCAUUGUAAACAUAAGAGUUAUAGUCAUGGGUUAUGAAAAGUUGCUAUAAACACAAUAGUUGCAAAUUAGUAUGGGAAUUUUAUUAAGCAAAACUGUUGUAUUUAUAUGUUAAUUUGAAAAGAAAAUAUGGUAUUGAAAAUGCU